rnacentral:siRNA from 1 species
ACACCAAUGAGUGCCACAUGUCAU